UACGGAGGGGGCAAGCGUUAUUCGGAAUUAUUGGGCGUAAAGGGCAGGUAGGCGGCUUCGUGUGUCCCUUGUGAAAGCCCUCGGCUCAACUGAGGAAUUGCAAAGGAAACUACGGAGCUUGAGUCCGGGAGAGGAGAGUGGAAUUCCCAGUGUAGCGGUGAAAUGCGUAGAUAUCAGGAGGAACACCGGUGGCGAAGGCGGGUCUCUGGGCCGAUACUGACGCUGAGGAGCGAAAGCGUGGGGAGCGAACAGG
rnacentral:rRNA from 1 species